UUCCAGGCCCUUCAGCAGGGACAGGCAGGGCAGGAAGAGGCUGUGCGUGAGAGGGGGACCGGGCUGUACGAGCUCACAGCUUGCGAUGGCACAGGAAACCUGCUUUAGAAGUGAGGUUGGACGAGAUCAUCUCCAGAGGUCCCUUCCAACCUCUACAAUUAUGAGAUAAAAAGAGAACUGCCCGCUGGAAACUGGAGACACUAUUUUCCUGCAAGGACCUCCCUCUUGUGAUUGUUUUACCUUGCAACUCAUGUACCCAUGCCUGCAGGGUCAAGAGGAAAACACUGCUCAACUGAGCAACAUCUCCCACCAAAGCAAAGGACAGAACACACUUCAAAACAGAAGGAAACAAAUUCUGAGAGCAGCAAGUAAGCACUGUCCAAGAAAAACAGAGCACUUCAGUUUACAAUGAAAAAUAAAUCACUGAGGCCCUGUCUGUUGGGAAAUGCCUCAAAAAAUCUAAGAACAAAUUGGAGUUGACGUUAAAAUCAAUUCAGAACUACAAAGGACUCCAUUGGUGGAUAGAGAUGCAGGGGAUCUCUGAGCUUGAUAGUCUCAAUGUUUCUGACCUGAAACGAGCUAAGUCACAGCUUUAGCCAUUUACUGUAA